rnacentral:rRNA from 1 species
UGGGGAAUAUUGCACAAUGGGCGAAAGCCUGAUGCAGCAACGCCGCGUGAGUGAUGAAGGUCUUCGGAUUGUAAAGCUCUGUCUUUUGGGACGAUAAUGACGGUACCAAAGGAGGAAGCCACGGCUAACUACGUGCCAGCAGCCGCGGUAAUACGUAGGUGGCGAGCGUUGUCCGGAUUUACUGGGCGUAAAGGGUGCGUAGGCGGAUGUUUAAGUGAGAUGUGAAAUACCCGGGCUUAACUUGGGUGCUGCAUUUCAAACUGGAUAUCUAGAGUGCAGGAGAGGAGAAUGGAAUUCCUAGUGUAGCGGUGAAAUGCGUAGAGAUUAGGAAGAACACCAGUGGCGAAGGCGAUUCUCUGGACUGUAACUGGCGCUGAGGCACGAAAGCGUGGGUAGCAAACAGGAUUAGAUACCCUGGUAGUCCACGCCGUAAACGAUGAGUACUAGGUGUAGGAGGUAUCGACCCCUUCUGUGCCGCAGUAAACACAUUAAGUACUCCGCCUGGGAAGUACGAUCGCAAGAUUAAAACUCUAAAGUGAAUUGAC